GCACCUAUGGCCUAAUGGAUAAGGUGUUUGACUUUUAAUUAAGUGAUUGUGGGUUCGAGUCCCACUAGGUGUG
rnacentral:tRNA from 1 species